rnacentral:rRNA from 1 species
CGCAUCUGUGCAUGCAGCAUAUCAAUAAGCGGAGGAAAAGAAACUAACAAGGAUUCCCCUAGUAACGGCGAGUGAAGCGGGAAGAGCUCAAAUUUGAAAUCUUAAAGGGUUUCCCUUUACGAAUUGUAGUUUAAAGAAGUGUUUUCUGUUGAGGUUUUGGUAAAAGUUCUUUGGAAUAGGACAUCAUAGAGGGUGAGAAUCCCGUAUUUGACCUUUACUUUCAACUUUGUGAUACACUUUCAAAGAGUCGGAUUGUUUGGGAAUGCAGUCCAAAAUGGGUGGUAAAUUUCAUCUAAAGCUAAAUAUUGGCGAGAGACCGAUAGCGAACAAGUACCGUGAGGGAAAGAUGGAAAGAACUUUGAAAAGAGAGUUAAACAGUACGUGAAAUUGUCAAAAGGGAAGCGUUUGACACCAGUGUUGUUUUUCUGAAAAUCAAUUAAAGAACUGUUUAUGCUAAGUUGUUUAGACUUUAUCAGCUAACUGUUUAGUUUUGAGCUUUUCUUUAAUGCACUUUUCAGUUAACAAGUCAACAUCAAUUUCUUUUGCUGUAAAAAAGCUUGAGGAAGGUGGCUUGAGAUUCGUCUUAAGUGUUUAUAGCCUCUUGCCUAUGCAGUCGGAGAGAUUGAGGUCUGCAGCGUAGAUCCUUCGGGGCUAAAUGCAUUUGUGCUAAGUUAUAGCAUUUUAUAGACAACUUGUUGACUAUGAUUUGUCUUGUAGCUUACUCGCUUAUGUUAUUUUACCUACGCUUAGGAUGUUGAACGCGCACAGAGUCUC